UACGGGGGGGGCAAGCGUUGUUCGGAAUUACUGGGCGUAAAGGGCUCGUAGGCGGCUCGCUAAGUCAGACGUGAAAGCCCUCGGCUUAACCGGGGAACGGCGUCUGAGACUGGCAAGCUUGAAUCCGGGAGAGGGAUGCGGAAUUCCAGGUGUAGCGGUGAAAUGCGUAGAUAUCUGGAGGAACACCGGUGGCGAAGGCGGCAUCCUGGACCGGUAUUGACGCUGAGGAGCGAAAGCCAGGGGAGCAAACGGG
rnacentral:rRNA from 1 species